rnacentral:rRNA from 1 species
CAGCCGCCGCGGUAAUACAGAGGAUGCAAGCGUUAAUCGGAUUUACUGGGCGUAAAGGGCGCGUAGGUGGUUAUGUAAGUGAGAUGUGAAAUCCCCGGGCUCAACCUGGGAACUGCAUUUGUGACUGGCAAGCUAGAGUAUGGCAGAGGGGGGUGGAAUUCCGCGUGUAGCAGUGAAAUGCGUAGAUAUGCGGAGGAACACCGAUGGCGAAGGCAGCCCCCUGGGCCAAUACUGACGCUCAUGCACGAAAGCGUGGGGAGCAAACAGGAUUAGAUUCCCGUGUAGUCCCUGUCUCUUAUAA